UGGUGCUCGCUUCUGCCACAAAUAUAAUAAAAAUGGAACGAUACAGAGAAGAUCAGCAUGGCCCUUGUGCAAGGAUGACACGCAAAUUUGUGAAGCGUUCCAUAUCUUG
ensembl:snRNA U6 U6 spliceosomal RNA